UGCUCAUUCGAAUAACGGUGCGAAGAAAGUCCGAGAUAUUAGACAAUGGAUAGGUUUGCUCGGGAUAGCUUUGAAAGUUGCCGAUGUGAAAUAUAAAUGAGAUUACGUCACAUGUUUAUGAUAAUUUGCUUUUUCUCUGUGUGUCGAGUUUCCCGACGUUGUGAAAAAAAAAUUUGCUUGGGUUAACCUAUGAAUAUAAAAAAAAAGCUUAACUUCGAAAGCUAUCGUUUCAAAAACCGACAAAUAUAUUUAAUUUAUUAUCGAAUUCGAUAGAGAAAGAGAAAACAUGAGUGACAUAUUUCAGUUACGAUUUACAUUCUACAAGACGAUAAUACCUAUCGCGUAUGGUGGUAAAGUCUCUGAUCGUGAGACAUUGAAGAUAGUUGUUCAUUAAAAAUAAGAAAACGUGGAGGCUGUCUGUCGCCUCGAACGAUCAGAAAAAUGAUGUCAGCGAUAAGUCAGAUUAAUCGGACAUUAAAGGAGGAAAUCUUCGAAGUCAAAUCAAUCGAGCGGAAAUAGUCAAGAUUAAACUAUUUCUAUACAUAAGCGGCAUAGAACAUCGUCAUCGAUGCAUCCGCCAUACUAAGUUAUUACCAUAAACAACGAUUCUUGCGGUAAAGCUGUUGGCAAUCAUCAUGGUAACGUGGGCGACAGGAAAGAAAUAAAAGGUACGAAACGACGAGAAGAUUUCAUCGAUAAUAAUUCCACGAAAUCGUGACUUACAAUUUAAAUAUUUUUAACGAUGUUACAUUAAUUUUUAUAUAUAAUAUGA